rnacentral:rRNA from 1 species
CGCACGGGUGAGUAACACGUAUGCAACCUGCCUGCCACAGCCGGAUAAUCGGGAGAAAUUCCGUCUAAUACGGCAUAAUGCAUCGACGGGACAUCCUGUUGGUGCCAAAGGUUAAUUCCGGUGGCGGAUGGGCAUGCGUCGCAUUAGUUAGUUGGCGGUGUAACGGACCACCAAGACGACGAUGCGUAGGGGUUCUGAGAGGAAGGUCCCCCCACACUGGUACUGAGACACGGACCAGACUCCUACGGAAGGCAGCAG